CUUGCAAACCUCAUCCCACCUGCCAAGCAGAGGAAAUAGGCACUGUCACGGAUUGGGAAUUUGUGAAGGGGCCACAAAACAGAGUUGAAGGAGAACUACUACAAACCGAGCAUUCCUAAGGAAGCUUUACUUGAGCUAUCACUGCCGGAGGUUGAUGACAAUCAAUUUCAUGUGUUGGUGGAGUACUGGUUUUCUCAGAAAGGCGUGGACCUGUCUAAAGAUAACAAAGAGCGGCGUGCAAAGUAGACAAAGCUGCAUACGCUGGGAUCCAAAAGCUAUGCCCAGACGGUGGAUAGCAUUGCAAACAAGAAUGGCAAGCAAAUAGAGAGAGGUGAGAUGUAUGAAGUGACAUAUUCUCACAGUGAUGGUACUGCUGUGAAUGAAAUUGCGGAAGCAAAUAUUGAUGGUACUAGCAGAAAUGAAGAGGACAACUCAAACAAUAACAAGGAGGUCGAAAACAGCUUGGAGGGUGAUUCAAAGGAAGACUAAUAUAGAUCUUGUCAUAAUUCUAGUUGUUUAAGUUUAAAACAAGGUUUAAUUUCAAGAUUUCUUUGUAUAUUCUAUA